UGUCCUCACGGGCGGGGAGGGCCCCCGGAGCCGGAAGCACGACGCGGGAGGGAGGAAGCGGAGAAGCCGAAGGCCUGUCUUCAAGAGACGUAAACCCGUUUUAUGCGCUCGUGGGAAGAAGGCACCAAAGAAGGAAAAGUUGCAAACACCGCAAAGCGCCAACACUUGCUGGAGCAGGGGCCUGGGGUGGAAAAGAUGCGAUGCGAGGGGCGGAGGCGGCGGCCAACAGCGCUCUGAGCCGGGGCAGCCCGCCGUCCCAGCUUCCAGAUGGUUCUCCCUGCACCCGGCCUCAGGGCCAGCCAACAGGGAUAGGACGCGGCCGUGACCCACGCCUGACCCUGCCCGGGAUCUCUGACAAUGUCCGCUGCCUCCCGAAAGAAGCCCGAGAGUUUAUAAGGAGGCGGCCCAGGGCGCCCGCCAGGCCCGGCUCGAGCCCUUUCCGGAACGUCCCGGCCCUUGCCAUGCCCUUUGCCCCGGUGCUCGGAUCCACGCUCCUCCACCCCUCAGAGUCCCGCUCAGGCGGCCCCUCCUCCGAGAAGCGCGCCUCGCCGCCCAACCGGACCGAGGGGCGCGGCCUUCGCGGGGAGAAACCGCGCGCGGCGCCCCCGUGCGGCCGAGGGCCGGGGUGGAAAACGGCGGCCGCCGAGGGCAAGAUGGCGGCGGCCCCGGGCCCCGCCCCUUCCGUCUCGCGGGACGCUGCACGAGGCCGGCUUAAAGGGGAAGUGAGUCAGUGUCCGCGGACCCGGCCGGCCAAGGCCCGCGCCCGCCGCGGCCUCCAGAGGCCCGGAGAGGCCCCGAAAGGCCCUGGCCCUGCGGCGGCGGCGGCCAUGGCCGGUGGGCCGGGGCCGGGAGACCCCGCGGCCCCUGGCACCCAGCACUUCUUGUACGAAGUGCCUCCCUGGAUCAUGUGCCGCUUCUACAAAGUGAUGGACGCCCUGGAGCCCGCCGACUGGUGCCAGUUCGCCGCCCUGAUCGUGCGCGACCAGACGGAGCUGCGGCUGUGUGAGCGCUCCGGACAGCGCACGGCCAGCGUCCUUUGGCCCUGGAUCAACCGCAACGCCCGCGUGGCCGACCUCGUGAGCAUCCUCACGCACCUGCAGUUGCUCCGCGCUCGGGAUAUCAUCACAGCCUGGCACCCUCCUGCCCCUCUCCUGCCCCCCAGCACCAGCACCCCGAGGCCUAGCAGCCCCCCUGCACCCUGUGAGGCCAAGGUCCCCCGCCCCCGGAAGUUGUCGACGUCAGCCGCCACAGUCCCCUCCCCAGCUUUUCCAGACUCCCAGACCCAUUCUGGGGCUGAGCUCGGUCCUGUCCCAAGCCCUGCCUCCCGCCAGCAACCACCACCACCAUACCCAGCCCCUUCCUCCACCAAGGAUCUUUGCCCACAGCCUAACCGGGAGAGCCCAGUGUCCCCCCUGCAGGGAGCCCAGGCCUCUCCCUUUUGCUGGCCCCUCAGUGAGAUCUCCCAGGGCACCCACAACUUCUCAGAGGAGCUGAAGAUCGGAGAGGGUGGCUUCGGGUGUGUGUACCGGGCGGUGAUGAGGAACACGCCGUACGCGGUGAAGAGGCUAAAGGAGGGGGCGGACCUGCCGUGGGUCGCAGUGAAGCAGAGCUUCCUGACGGAAGUGGAGCAGCUGUCCCGGUUCCGUCACCCCAACAUCGUGGACUUUGCUGGUUACUGUGCUCAGAGCGGCUUCUACUGCCUCGUCUAUGGCUUCUUGCCCAACGGCUCCCUGGAAGACCGCCUCCACUUCCAGACCCAGGCCUGCCCCCCACUCUCCUGGCCUCAGCGACUGGACAUCCUUCUGGGCACAGCACGCGCCAUUCAGUUCUUACAUCAGGACAGCCCCAGUCUCAUCCACGGGGACAUCAAGAGUUCCAACGUCCUCCUGGAUGAGAGACUGAUGCCCAAGCUGGGAGACUUCGGCCUGGCCCGCCUCAGCCGCUUUGCGGGGGCCAGUCCCGGCCAGAGCAGCACAGUGGCCCGGACGCAGACCGUGCGUGGCACCCUGGCUUACCUUCCCGAGGACUAUGUCAAGACGGGGAGGCUGGCCGUGGACACAGAUACCUUCAGCUUUGGCGUGGUAGUGCUGGAGACCCUGGCUGGCCAGAGGGCCGUGAGGACGCAUGGUGCCCGGACCAAGUACCUGGUGCAGCCCUGGAGGGUGGAAUGAUCUGGAAUCAGUGCCCCACAGAAGCCAGCCUCGGCUACUGCUGACUCAUCUAUGAAAAAGGACCUCGUUGAAGAAGAGGCUGAGGAGGCCGGGGUGACUCUGAAAAGCACCCGGACCACAGUGCAAGCGGGUCUGGCCACAGAUGCAUGGGCUACCCCCAUUGCCGCCCAGAUCUGUAAGAAGCACCUGGACCCCAGGCCUGGCCCAUGCCCGCCCGAGCUGGGGCUGGCCCUGGGCCACCUGGCUUGCUGCUGCCUGCACCGCCGGGCCAAGAGGAGACCCCCCAUGACCCAGGAUCGCUCCUGAGCAGCUCGGUGGCCUCGCAGCCGCCGCAGAUCAUCAUCAACCCGGCCCGACAGAAGAUGGUGCGGAAGCUGGCCUUGUACGAGGACGGGGUCCUGGACAGCCUGCAGCUGCUGUCAUCCGGCUCC